CCCGGCACGUCCCAGCUCUGUGGGGUGAGCUUUGUUCUGGUCUCGCAGCGCUGAAGACACUCGCCUACUGCUCUCCAGGAGGACGGAGCGGCUGUAAUGGGAACGGACAGGAGAAGCCGUAGGGAGGAUGACGGCAACGACGGAUGUUAAUGAAGAGCAGCCUGCAGAGGAAAAAAGAAAGGAUGUGGGGAGAGGGGUGCCCUCCGGCUGAGGAGGGGACCCCGUGCGUGGAGGUUCAGCUGCCUGCAGCUCUUCUCCCCGACUUGCUUUCCCGUGCUGUGGAGGAAGGGCACGUCUCCGCAGCUGACAUCUCCCUUGGGCCUGCGCUUGCACCGAGCCGCUGCCAGAACGGG
rnacentral:lncRNA from 1 species